AAGGAGCUAAGGGCUGAAAGAAAAGGCCCAGUGAGAAGGAAAUCACUUCUGGCUUUUCAGACCUUUUCACUUGUCCCUUUCUCCACCGUUGGCCCAAGAUUCACACCCGGCAACUGAGUUUUAGACCUCUUCCUUCAUUCAGGGCCUAGACCAGAGUCUGCACUUAGCCUUCAGUAUAAAUAGUUGGAUAAAGGAUAGCUUCCUUGGGCGGAAUGCCCUCAGAUCAGCUCACUUUGAGGGUGUAGUUUUUUUUUUUUUUCUACUCAGCUGAAAGGCAGAUAAACACAUAUGUUUUACAUUGGUGUUAUUUAUAUAGCUAUGCCCCCAAAGGGGGGGGGUAAAGUUGUUGGAAAUAUUUUUCUUGGUCUUGUUCAUAUACAUAUAUGCUGUGAAUUUUAGGAUGUUGAAGUUACUCUUAAGGCGUUUCCUUUACAUUUUGAUGUCUUUAAAAAACGAUUUUACUUCUUUCAUAAGAGGUGAAGACCUUGCAAAAUGAAGCUAAUCUCUUUUAGAAACUAAGAGAUUUCUUACCUCCUGCUGCUUUAUUACAAUUGAACACUUUUUCAACCGAGUCACUUUCUUUGUUGUGUUUCGAAUGGUUUGAUGAUUCUUAUUCUUUAUCAUAACUUUUAUUUUUUUGAAUGCCGUAACCAUUUUUUUAUAUAACCAGGCAAGCAAUUUUAGGUUUGGAAAUGUGUAAGACUAAAUUCAGUCAGUUGGUACAUACAUAUUAAAUACAUAUUCUACUGAGCACCAGUUGUGUAAUCCACGGACUAUUCCCUAGAGCGUUUUAAGUCCUACUCUCAUUGAUUGUAAAAUAGUGAAAUUAUAUAACCAAUGAGCUAAUAAGCAUGAAACUAAUUUGAAAGGUUAUAAUUGCUAAUCAAAUGUAAAGCAUAUUUAUUAGCAUCAUUAUUAAAAGGUGCCAGAGGAUACAGAUAAAACCUGUUCCUAUCCUCUGGGAACUUACAAUCUAGUUGGGCAUAAAUAAUGAAAUGUAAAUUGAUAGAAAGAGCUCCUAAGCAGUGUUCAGUGUCUGGCGUAUUGAAGACAGAAAAUGAUUGCCUCACAUUAAUUUGUAGCCCUGACAUUCUUUUAACAGAAAUAUAAUACUGUAAGUAAUGGAAGGAUUAAUUAGGAAAAAAUUUCAUGGAAAAAAUGAAUUUGUCCUUCUUAAGUCAUGUGUGAAGAUUGGGGGCAUAUAAGCUGUUUGCUUGUGAGGGAUAAAAUGGUAUUAAGUGUGGGAUAGGAAAAACGCGAGGUGAAAGUGUAAACAACCUUACAAGAUCAUUAUUAUUGAUACAUUUCUAUAAAAUUUUGUUAAUUAGAUGUAUGCAUGGGGCAUGGGCAUGUGAAUGAAGGGAUAUGAGGAAGCCAGAGAAAUCAGAGCUCUCUGGAGAUGGAGUUACAGGCAGCUGUGAGCCACCGACAACACGGUGCUGAGAACCAAACAGGCUUCUCUGGAAGAGCAGCUUUGGCUCUUGACUUCUGGGCCAUCUCUUCCAUCCCCUGACACUUACUUCUACAUGAUUCUAUCUAAACUCUGAAUGUAAAGAAAAUUGAAGAGGAUUAAGAAAAGAUUCAGGGCUAAAGACUUUCAAAGACGAUCUGGGACAUUAUCAUCGCUUGUAAUCAAAAAGAAAAUAUUGCCCGUGAUAUUCUAUUUCUAAAAUUUAAUGGACCAUUUGAAUUGUCUACCCGUACAUUAGUAAAGCGUGAACUUUCAAGCAUGGAACUUUCAGGGCUGCUGAGAACUGUCUGGAACUCUCGAGUCCCUUUUUCUAAAAGUUAUUUUUGUAAAUUGCUGUAACAGUGGCUCAUCAGUCACUCUGAAAGGAAGUGAUCCUUGAUUAACAGUUGGCUGACACCAAGCUCCACAGAUGUGUAGCAACAGUACAGGUGCGACUUACAAAACAAGACAGAGCUUUACUCCUCCUUGGUACAAGGAAGGCUGGCAUGAUCAUCCACUUCACAUUAGAGGGUGUCUUAUCCACCAGUGUGCUGACACCAAGCAGGAAUUUCCAAGUAGAGAGCAGACUCCCUGUAGUCACAUGUCCCUGGUGAAAAUUGCUUCAUCAUUCUUCAGAAGGAAAAAAAUAAAAAGAAGAAGCAGAUUCUCUUCAGAAUCCUCUAUUCUCAGAAUGACUAGACAGAACUUUAUGCCAAAAUUCUUGCUCAUCUUCCUAUCUUCUAGUUCCAUAAAUAAAAAUAAAAUGUUAAUAAAUGGAUAAAA